GGUCUAUGAUGCAGUAAAAUAUUUGCUACUCUUGAUGGGAAAAACACCCACUUGAUGAUUUAUUAUCCACCAAGAUCUCUGAGGCC
rnacentral:snoRNA from 2 species